rnacentral:rRNA from 1 species
UAGUCCACGCCGUAAACGAUGAUAACUAGCUGUUCGGGCCCACAGGGCUUGAGUGGCGCAGCUAACGCAUUAAGUUAUCCGCCUGGGGAGUACGGUCGCAAGAUUAAAACUCAAAGGAAUUGACGGGGGCCUGCACAAGCGGUGGAGCAUGUGGUUUAAUUCGACGCAACGCGCAGAACCUUACCAGGUCUUGACAUACCUAUUGUACGACGUAGAGAUACGUUGGUCAGUUCGGCUGGAUAGGAUACAGGUGCUGCAUGGCUGUCGUCAGCUCGUGUCGUGAGAUGUUGGGUUAAGUCCCGCAACGAGCGCAACCCUCGCCGUUAGUUGCCAGCACUUCGGGUGGGAACUCUAACGGGACUGCCUGUGAAAGCAGGAGGAAGGCGAGGAUGACGUCUAGUCAGCAUGGUCCUUACGAUCUGGGCUACACACGUGCCACAAUGGCAGGUACAGAGCGCAGCCACUUCGCGAGAAGGCGCUAAUCGCUUAAAG